ACCCGCACGUUCUCUUUACUUGCGAGUCUGACGAAGACAGGCGUCAAUAAGUCGCCAUGCCUGUUGCCAGGACUUGGGUUUGUAGUAAGACAUAUGUCACCCCUAGACGUCCCUUCGAGAAGUCCCGUCUCGACCAAGAGUUGAAACUCAUUGGCGAGUAUGGACUCAGGAAUAAGAGAGAGGUGUGGAGGGUGAAGUUUACUUUGGCCAAAAUCCGCAAGGCUGCCAGAGAGCUUCUGACUCUGGACGAGAAGGAUGCCAGGCGUCUCUUUGAGGGUAACGCCUUGCUCAGGCGUCUGGUGCGUAUUGGAGUGCUGGAUGAGGGAAAGAUGAAGCUCGAUUACAUUCUGGGCUUGAAAGUGGAAGAUUUCUUGGAGAGAAGGCUGCAGACUCAGGUCUUCAAGCUCGGCCUUGCCAAGAGCAUCCACCAUGCUCGUGUGCUCAUCCGUCAGAGGCACAUCAGCUGACCAUGUUUAAAGCCCUCCUGGUGAGUGGGAUAUGAAAUAUUUCCGCAAGGUCAAUUCGGUGAUUAAACCGUAUACCUUUGCCUGUUAUAAAAAGCUCAAAGCCUCACAUGAUGACUGGGUGCUUUAUGCAAGAAACAGAGUCUUAACAGGGUGCGAAAGCAGGUUGUGAACAUCCCAUCCUUUGUGGUGAGGCUGGACAGCCAGAAGCACAUCGACUUCUCUCUCCGUUCUCCAUACGGUGGUGGUCGCCCUGGCCGUGUAAAGAGAAAGAAUGCCAAGAAGGGCCAGGGUGGUGCUGGAG